UUGUCCCUUGUCGGCGUGCGUUUGUGCCGCUCCGAAUGGAACGCCAUAGAUGUUUUGUUGACAAGUUAACCAACCCCGGCACGGAAUGUGCCAAGGAAAAAGAAAACAAAAGAAGGUUGUACCUGGUUUUUGCCCCGUUCGCGGUGUGCAUGCUGUUGCGACCUCUUUCAAACAAAAACGACUCUCGGCAACGGAUAUCUCGGCUCACGCAUCGAUGAAGAACGUAGCAAAAUGCGAUACUUGGUGUGAAUUGCAGAAUCCCGUGAACCAUCGAGUUUUUGAACGCAAGUUGCGCCCAAAGCCAUCCGGUUGAGGGCACGCCUGCCUGGGCGUCACGCAUCGCGUCGCCCCCCCAUGUAUAUCAGAUUUGGGAUGCAUGGUGUCGGGGCGGAGAUUGGUCUCCUGUGCAACUGUCGCGGUUGGCCCAAACAUGAGUCACCUUCGGUUGACGCACGGCUAGUGGUGGUUGARUAGGCCCUCGUCUUUUGCCGUGCGUCGUUUGCUGCAAGGA
rnacentral:rRNA from 1 species